rnacentral:rRNA from 1 species
ACCGUAUAGGGGAGCCGGAGGGAAACCGAGUCUUAAUUGGGCGUUAAGUUGCAGGGUAUAGACCCGAAACCCGGUGAUCUAGCCAUGGGCAGGUUGAAGGUUGGGUAACACUAACUGGAGGACCGAACCGACUAAUGUUGAAAAAUUAGCGGAUGACCUGUGGCUGGGGGUGAAAGGCCAAUCAAACCGGGAGAUAGCUGGUUCUCCCCGAAAGCUAUUUAGGUAGCGCCUCGUGAAUUCAUCUCCGGGGGUAGAGCACUGUUUCGGCUAGGGGGCCAUCCCGGCUUACCAACCCGAUGCAAACUGCGAAUACCGGAGAAUGUUAUCACGGGAGACACACGGCGGGUGCUAACGUCCGUCGUGAAGAGGGAAACAACCCAGACCGCCAGCUAAGGUCCCAAAGUCAUGGUUAAGUGGGAAACGAUGUGGGAAGGCCCAGACAGCCAGGAUGUUGGCUUAGAAGCAGCCAUCAUUUAAAGAAAGCGUAAUAGCUCACUGGUCGAGUCGGCCUGCGCGGAAGAUGUAACGGGGCUAAACCAUG